rnacentral:lncRNA from 1 species
UGGAAACUCUGAUUCAUUGUUUUUCACUCUCCCCCUGUUGUUUUCUGACUGUUUGUUCAGCUAUCAGUAAGUGCUUUGAGAAGCCAAGAUAAUUAUGUGAUUGCUUGAGGAACACAGCAGGCUGAGGGCCAACAGUGCUCAGCCCCACGUCCCGACUCUUCAGCAAAACAGGCAGGGGUUAGAGCUAAGCCCUGAUAGGAAACAGUCAUUGAUAGCAAUGAAAAGACGAGGAGGUUAAGUCUUGGAACCAAAGAGCACAUUGAUGGGCCUGGGUACAGGUUCAGGAUGCCAAGGCCCCGGGAACUUACAUUUGUCAUAGGGGUCGUUUCCCAAUUGGGCAGAGUUGAAAAGUUCACAGCCCUAAAACAAAGGGGGAAAAGGAGCAAGUAGACACCUGUGAUCAAAUCUAAGACUGGAAAAUAGCAGUGAUUCCUACCAAAGCCUUGGCAAGCACGUUGUUGGCAAUCUGUUAGAGAGAGAAUUAUAAUGGAAUUCAGAAUGGCUGGACUCCCUAAAAACUGAACCUAUCUGGGCUUUGCCCUCCCUUCGGAGCCCUGAGAACAAGCACCUCUCAUCAAGGCCAUUGAUAAUAGGACCCUUUUCCCCAGCGUGUUCUCCGAGUGUUACCCGAACUUAGCGAUAGAAUUUCCAGAGACAAUGGCGGGACUGUCCAAUCACACAGUAACUCCUUUGAGCCACUCAAGUAAAACCUAUUGGAUUUACCUGGAUGUCACAAAUGGGGUAGGAUCUGUGAGAAGAGACAUGGAAGAUGGAUGCCAGGAGUGGAAGUCAGACAUAUCAUCCAAAAGAAAUGAUGCUUCCUGGAAGAAGAGUGAUAUCCUUGGCCAGAGGUGCAGACAUUGGCCUGGAAAUUGGCAUGGCAACCCAGCCUUCAGCAACCCCCAACCUGAUCAAUCAGUGGCCAUCAACGUGGAAGCAAGACCCUCCACCACCAAAAAGAUUGCAGCUCACUGAAGACGAUGAUGGUUAGCAUUUUUUAGCAAUAAAGUAUUUUUAAUUAAAGUAUUGCA